rnacentral:rRNA from 1 species
GAUGAACGCUAGCUACAGGCUUACACAUGCAAGUCGCGGGGCAGCAUGGGGGUUGCUUGCAAUCCCCGAUGGCGACCGGCGCACGGGUGAGUAACGCGUAUCCAACCUGCCCCUCACCACGGGAUAACCCGGCGAAAGUCGGACUAAUACCGGAUGGUGUUCAUUGACGGCAUCCGGAUUGGAAGGAAGGCCUGGCGGGGGGGGGUGGGGAUGCGUCCGAUUAGCCAGACGGCGGGGUAACGGCCCACCGUGGCUACGAUCGGUAGGGGUUCUGAGAGGAAGGUCCCCCACACUGGAACUGAGACACGGUCCAGACUCCUACGGGAGGCAGCAGUGAGGAAUAUUGGUCAAUGGGCGUAAGCCUGAACCAGCCAAGUAGCGUGCAGGAUGACGGCCCUAUGGGUUGUAAACUGCUUUUAUGCGGGGAUAAAGUGGCCCACGUGUGGGCUUUUGCAGGUACCGCAUGAAUAAGGACCGGCUAAUUCCGUG